ACCUCAGUGUCAGUAUCAGUCCAGGUGGUCGCCUUCGCCACUGGUGUUCCUUCCUAUAUCUACGCAUUUCACCGCUACACAGGAAAUUCCACCACCCUCUACCGUACUCUAGCUUGCCAGUUUUGGAUGCAGUUCCCAGGUUGAGCCCGGGGCUUUCACAUCCAACUUAACAAACCACCUACGCGCGCUUUACGCCCAGUAAUUCCGAUUAACGCUUGCACCCUCUGUAUUACCGCGGCUGCUGGCACAGAGUUAGCCGGUGCUUAUUCUGUCGGUAACGUCAAAACAGCAAGGUAUUAGCUUACUGCCCUUCCUCCCAACUUAAAGUGCUUUACAAUCCGAAGACCUUCUUCACACACGCGGCAUGGCUGGAUCAGGCUUUCGCCCAUUGUCCAAUAUUCCCCACUGCUGCCUCCCGUAGGAGUCUGGACCGUGUCUCAGUUCCAGUGUGACUGAUCAUCCUCUCAGACCAGUUACGGAUCGUCGCCUUGGUGAGCCAUUACCCCACCAACUAGCUAAUCCGACCUAGGCUCAUCUGAUAGCGCAAGGCCCGAAGGUCCCCUGCUUUCUCCCGUAGGACGUAUGCGGUAUUAGCGUUCCUUUCGAAACGUUGUCCCCCACUACCAGGCAGAUUCCUAGGCAUUACUCACCCGUCCGCCGCUGAAUCGAAGAGCAAGCUCUUCUCAUCCGCUCGACUUGCAUGUGUUAGGCCUGCCGCCAGCGUUCAAU
rnacentral:rRNA from 1 species